rnacentral:sRNA from 1 species
AAUAACGGCAGGCGGGAAUGGAACCAUUCCGCGCCUGCCGUUAUU